rnacentral:rRNA from 1 species
CCUACGGGUGACAGCAGUGGGGAAUAUUGCACAAUGGGGGAAACCCUGAUGCAGCGACGCCGCGUGAGUGAAGAAGGAUUUCGGUACGUAAAGCUCUAUCAGCAGGGAAGAAAAUGAGGCUACCUGUCUAGAAAGCCCCAGCUAACUACGUGCCAGCGUCCGCGGUAAUACGUGGGGGGCAAGCGUUAUCCGGAUUUACUGGGUGGAAAGGGAGCGUAGACGGCAGCGCAAGUCUGGGGUGAAAUCCCAUGGCUUAACCGUGGAACUGCAUUGGAAACUGUGCAGCUAGAGUACAGGAGAGGUAGGCGGAAUUCCUAGUGUAGCGGUGAAAUGCGUAGAUAUUAGGAGGAACACCAGUGGCGAAGGCGGCUUACUGGACUGCAACUGACGUUGAGGCUCGAAAGCGUGGGGAGCAAACAGGAUUAGAUACCCUUGUAGUC